rnacentral:rRNA from 1 species
GUCUACGGCCAUGCCACCCCGAACAAGCCAGAUGUCCGAUUUCAGAAGUUAAGCAGGGUUAGGCCUCGUUAGUACUUGGAAGAGACCACCCAGGAAGACCAGGUGCUGUAGGCA